UUCUUUAAAUCGAGUUCUUAAUAUUUUAAAAAUUUUAUCCAAGAUUCUUGUUGUUAGUUAGGAUCCAUUAAUUGCUUAUAUACACGAGAUUAUCACAUUCACAUGUAAUCUUUGUAUGAGUGAGAUUACACAUAAGAUUUUGUUAAAAGUAACCUCUUUCUUCCACCACCCCUCUUCUUCUUCAUCAUCACCAGCAAUCAUGUCUCAACUCCUUGUCCUUCUCUCCAAGGUAAUCGCCCCCACUUUUUUUUUAAUGCAAAACAUUUCCCUCUCUCUAUUUCCCUCUUUCUCUUCCUCCAUCAUAUUCACCCUCUUUUUUUCCUCUUUCGCAUAAAUAAAUCUAAACACCAUGAGCGUUCCUCCACCCCUUGCGGCAGUGAUGUGGAUGUCAUUCAUGGUGGCACAGUGGCCUUGGCUGGAGCACCAGGCCCUCAUCUUCAAGUACCUCAAGGCAGGUCUCUCGGUUCCCCUUGACCUCCUUCUCCCCAUUUACAAGAGCCUCCAAUUGAUGUCAUCUCACCCGUCGAUGGGGUAUUAUGGGAAGAACUCGUGGAAGAGGUUACCAAUCUAGAUACUACCUUUGGAACCUAUGAAGAAUCCAUCACCCAGUCCACUGAGAGGGAGGCUACUACAUUGAAAACUACAAAGACUGAAGAAGAACAGAGCGAGACAAGUAAUUCAUAGGGCAAGAACCUCAAAAAACCAGACAAAAUACUACCUUGUUCUCGCUGUAAUAACAUGGACACCAAGUUCUGCUACUACAAUAAUUACAAUCUUAACCAACCUUGCCACUUCUAUAAGAAUUGCCAGAGAUACUAGACUAUUGGGGGGAUCAUGAGGAACGUUCCUGUAGGUGCUAGUCCCAGGAAGAACAAGAGCUCGACCUCUCACUGGUUCAAGGGAGGGCCAAUGAGGGUGGGGGAACUCAUGGAAGAGUGGGGUAGCGACGGAAGAAGCGAAGGACGAGGAAAAAGGAAGAAAGAGAUGGAUUUUCUGAGGAAAAAGAAAUAACACUCAAAUUAUGUCAUUUUGAAUUAAAAAAAAAAAAAAAGAAUUUACGUGUAAUUUCACUUAGCAACGAGUACAUGUGACAAUACAUGUAGCAUGCUAAUAUGGCAAGAUAACAGUCAUGUAAGUAAUUAAUAAAUCCAGGCUAAUGACAUGAAUUUUAGA